rnacentral:rRNA from 1 species
AGGGUGUAAACGCUGCAGACUUGGUGUUGGAGGCCCUUUGGGGGCGAUUCAGUGCCAGAGAGAAGUUGUUAAGUCUGCUACUUGGGAGUACGUCCGCAAGGAUGAAACUUAAAGGAAUUGGCGGGGGAGCACCGCAACGGGAGGAGCGUGCGGUUUAAUUGGACUCAACGCCGGAAAUCUCACCGGAUAGGACAGACAUAUGAUAGUCGGGCUGAAGACUCUACUUGAUGAUCUGAGAGGAGGUGCAUGGC